UACGAAGGAUGCUAGCGUUACUCGGAAUUACUGGGCGUAAAGAAUAUGUAGGCUGAUUAUUAAGUUGAUAGUGAAAUCCCCGAGCCUAACUCGGGAACUGCUCUCAAAACUGAUAGUCUAGAAUAUGGUAGAGAGUAAGGGAAUUCUUGGUGUAGGGGUAAAAUCCGUAGAUAUCAGGAGGAAGACCGGAAGCGAAAGCGCUUACUUGGGCCAUCAUUGACGCUGAGAUAUGAAAGCGUGGGGAUCGAACAGG
rnacentral:rRNA from 1 species